GAUGAACGCUGGCGGCGUGCCUAAUACAUGCAAGUCGAGCGAACAGACGAGGAGCUUGCUCCUCUGACGUUAGCGGCGGACGGGUGAGUAACACGUGGAUAACCUACCUAUAAGACUGGGAUAACUUCGGGAAACCGGAGCUAAUACCGGAUAAUAUAUUGAACCGCAUGGUUCAAUAGUGAAAGACGGUUUUGCUGUCACUUAUAGAUGGAUCCGCGCCGCAUUAGCUAUUUGGUAAGGUAACGGCUUACCAAGGCAACGAUGCGUAGCCGACCUGAGAGGGUGAUCGGCCACACUGGAACUGAGACACGGUCCAGACUCCUACGGGAGGCAGCAGUAGGGAAUCUUCCGCAAUGGGCGAAAGCCUGACGGAGCAACGCCGCGUGAGUGAUGAAGGUCUUCGGAUCGUAAAACUCUGUUAUUAGGGAAGAAAAAAUGUGUAAGUAACUAUGCACGUCUUGACGGUACCUAAUCAGAAAGCCACGGCUAACUACGUG
rnacentral:rRNA from 1 species